rnacentral:rRNA from 1 species
CCUACGGGUGGCAGCAGUAGGGAAUAUUGCUCAAUGGGGGCAACCCUGAAGCAGCAACGCCGCGUGGAGGAUGAAGGUUUUCGGAUUGUAAACUCCUUUUGUUAGAGAAGAUACUGACGGUAGCUAACGAAUAAUCACCGGCUAACUCCGUGCCAGCAGCCGCGGUAAUACGAAGGGUGCGAGCGUUACUCGGAAUCACUGGGCGUAAAGAGCGCGUAGGCGGGAGAGCAAGUCAGAUGGGAAAUCCAAUGGCUGAACCAUAGAACUGCAUUUGAAACUGUUAUUCUAGAGUACUGGAGAGGUAGGUGGAAUUCUUGGUGUAGAGGUAAAAUGCGUAGAUAUUAAGAGGAAUACUAGUUGCGAAGGCGAUCUGCUGGAACGUAACUGACGCUGAGGCGCGAAAGCGUGGGGAGCAAACAGGAUUAGAUACCCUAGUAGUC